GGAGGCAGGGCUCAAGUGGUAGAGUGCCUGCCUUGCAAGCAGGAGGUCCUAAAGGUCAAGCCCCAGUGCCAUCA
rnacentral:tRNA from 1 species